rnacentral:rRNA from 1 species
UACAGAGGGUGCGAGCGUUGUCCGGAAUACUGGGCGUAAAGCGUGCGCAGGCGGUUGUGCAAGACAGAUGUGAAAUCCCCCGGGCUUAACCUGGGAAUUGCAUUUUGUGACUGCACGGCUAGAGUGUGUCAGAGGGGGGGGGUAGAAAUUCCACGUGUAGCAGUGAAAAUGCGUAGAUAUGUGGAGGAAUACCGAUGGCGAAGGCAGCCCCCCUGGGAUAACACUGACGCUCAUGCACGAAAAGCGUGGGGGAGCAAAACAGG